GAUUCAAAUUCGAUUUAAAUGAAGCUGGCUUAGGGUUAUUAAUCGGGUGUCAAUGCAGAACUGAACAACUAUUCAAGUGCGAUGAAAUGCAGCCUAGAACUCAGAUCACUCGGCUAGAGCAAUCCACUAUCGUGGCCUUGCUCCCUUUGCAUAUCGGUUUGAAUCCUAAGCUCUCAUUUGGAACAAGACGCGAUAACAAGCCUUAGAGACAAGAUC
rnacentral:lncRNA from 1 species